rfam:Camelus ferus unplaced genomic scaffold scaffold14590, whole genome shotgun sequence.
GUGGGUAUAGCUCAGUGGUAGAGCGCAUGCUUAGCAUGCACAAGGUCCUGGGUUCAAUCCCCAGUGCCUCCA